rnacentral:rRNA from 1 species
GCCGCGUGAGUGAUGACGGCCUUCGGGUUGUAAAGCUCUUUCUCAGGGAAGAAAAUGGCGGUACCUGACUAAGAAGCCCCCGCCAUGACGUGCCGCCCGCCGCCGUUCCUAGCCAGCCGCCGCGGUAAU